GCUGUACUGUCCUAUGAGUGCUCGAUCCUGUCAGAUCUCGGAAGCUAAGCACGGACAGGCCUGGUAAGCA
rnacentral:rRNA from 12 species